ensembl:lncRNA novel transcript
CUCAUUCUCUCUCUCCACCACCAUGUAAGAAGUGCCUUUUGCCCUCCCCCAUGACUGUAAGACCUUCCCCAGCCACGUGGAACUGAUGUACAGACGAAAAAAGACCAGAGGAUAUCAAAUCUCACCACAAGGUGGGAGCAUGCGUCCAGUCAAUCGAGAGAUCCUCUGUGCUGCGCACUGAGAGCACUCGGAGAGAAAUCGUCAACGUGAGGCGCCUCUGGCUUUCCAUCCUUCCAUAUCUGUCUAAUUAACUCACAUGCUAAGAAGACCAGCCAUCAAGCCAGACAAGGAAGCUGGGACUUCAAAUUUCCCCUACCUAGCCUCAACUAUUCUCCCUUUAUGAUGGGCACAUUAAUAUUCUUCCAAAAUAUCAGCAUCAUUUUGCAACUGGCUACAAAAUACUUUAAAAGGAAAGAUUCCACAUGUUCCAGAAAUAAAGUGCUUGAAAUACUUUUGA